AUGCAGGAGAGCUACGAGUCCCUGAUCCUGCUGGAUUUCCCCAUCCCCAAGCCCAACAUCGUGUCCCGGCUGGAGCCCGAGGAGGAGCUGGGGGUGCCCGACCCCAACGACUCCAAGGAGUGGGAGAUCCUCAGGGUGGCCCCUGCAGAUGACUCCGCCCCCCCGAGCGAUGACGACGAUGACCCCGCCCCCGAGGAGGCCGAACCCGCCC